CAUUGCCUACGGGACGCAGCAGUGAGGAAUAUUGGUCAAUGGGCGGUAGCCUGAACCAGCCAAGUAGCGUGAAGGAUGAAGGUUCUAUGGAUUGUAAACUUCUUUUAUAAAGGAAUAAAGUGAGGCACGUGUGCCUUUUUGUAUGUACUUUAUGAAUAAGGAUCGGCUAACUCCGUGCCAGCAGCCGCGGUAAUACGGAGGAUCCGAGCGUUAUCCGGAUUUAUUGGGUUUAAAGGGUGCGUAGGCGGUCCGUUAAGUCAGCGGUAAAAUUGCGGGGCUCAACCCCGUCGAGCCGUUGAAACUGG
rnacentral:rRNA from 1 species